ensembl:snoRNA LOC120102024 small nucleolar RNA SNORA48
AGGCCCUGGCACUGGGCAAACACCUGGUUGUUGUUGGUGUUCUCACGUCAGUCAGGGGCAGAGCAGACACAGGCCUUUGCUCAUCCUAGCUUGAUGCCUGGCUUGGUGGCCAAAGCUGUUUCAUGCCUAGGGCACAUAA